rnacentral:rRNA from 1 species
CGAACGGGUGAGUAACACGUGAGGAACCUGCCCCGAAGACCGGGACAACACCGGGAAACCGGUGCUAAUACCGGAUACCUUCACCGGAUCGCAUGUUCUGGUGAAGAAAUGGAUUCCGCUUCGGGAUGGCCUCGCGGCCUAUCAGCUUGUUGGUGAGGUAACGGCUCACCAAGGCAACGACGGGUAGCUGGUCUGAGAGGAUGUCCAGCCACACUGGGACUGAGACACGGCCCAG